AGCUCUAAUAGCGUAUACUUAAGUUGUUGCAGUUAAAAGCUCGUAGUCGGAUGUCGGGCUUGGGCAGGCUGUCGGCGUUUGUCGGACGGCAGGCUCGGGCCUUUCUGCCUGGGGACCUCGUUGCACUUCAUUGUGGGGCGAUGGGACGCAGGCCGUUUACUUUGAAAAAUUAGAGUGUUCAAAGCAGGCCUACGCUUGAAUACAUUAGCAUGGAAUAAUGGAAUAGGACUUUGGUGCCAUUCUGUUGGUUUAUGGAACCGAAGUAAUGAUUAAUAGGGACAGUUGGGGCCGUUUAUAUUUCGUUGUCAGAGGUGAAAUUCUUGGAUUUACGAAAGAUAAACUUCUGCGAAAGCAUUCGGCAAGGAUGUUUUCA
rnacentral:rRNA from 1 species